GACGAACGCUGGCGGCGUGCUUAACACAUGCAAGUCGAGCGGAAAGGCCACUUCGGUGGUACUCGAGCGGCGAACGGGUGAGUAACACGUGAGUAAUCUGCCCCUCACUUUGGGAUAGCCACCGGAAACGGUGAUUAAUACCGGAUAUGACCAUAUGUCGCAUGGCGUGUGGUGGAAAGUUUUUCGGUGAGGGAUGUGCUCGCGGCCUAUCAGCUUGAUGGUGAGGGAAUGGCUCACCAUGGCUUCGACGGGUAGCCGGCCUGAGAGGGUGACCGGUCACACUGGGACUGCGGCACGGCCCAGACUCCUACGGGCGGCAGCAGUGGGGAAUAUUGGACAAUGGGCGGAAGCCUGAUCCAGCAACGCCGCGUGAGGGAUGACGGCCUUCGGGUUGUAAACCUCUUUCAGUACCGACGAAGCGCAAGUGACGGUAGGUACAGAAGAAGCACCGGCCAACUACGUG
rnacentral:rRNA from 1 species